rnacentral:tmRNA from 1 species
AAUCGGGCUUGGGCUGGUUCAGUUUUGUCCGUUUCGAUGGGCCGGCCGACACUUUCGAACGCGACUAAGCAUGUAGUCGUCCCUUUGGGAGCUUUUCCGGACGCGGGUUCGACUCCCGCCGCCUCCACCA